GCUGCUUUCAUGCUCCCAUGUGUUCCACAAAAAAGAACCAGUAUCAAACCCGAGUGAUACACGAUGGGGCCCGCCUGUUCAGAAUCAAGUGUGCGACCAGAAUCCAAGCCUACUGGAGAGGAUACGUUGUUAGAAAGUGGUACAGAAACCUGAGGAAAACAGUACCUCCCACAGACGCCAAGUUAAGAAAAAAAUUCUUUGAAAAAAAGGUAGGUAGAGAUCAUUAUGUUCUCCAGGUAUGGUCUCUGUGCGGGUGAUUCACUUGGGGUCAGGAAGGCUAACAGAGGUGGUAAAACUUUGAGGCUUACUUCACUUUGAGGGCUUUUUAAAAAUGGUUGAGAUGCUGCUAAAAAUCCUGUUUAACUUAAGUUGGCUUUCCAACCUAGAUGGUAAAAUACUUUUAGACUUUCUUUUCUAGUUAAAUCAUAAAAUUAGGUUAAAUCAAAGCAACUUCUGUUUGGCCAUUUUGUGCUAAUUGUUUAAAUAAACUUAUCUCUUC
rnacentral:sRNA from 1 species